AGAGUUUGAUCAUGGCUCAGGAUGAACGCUAGCGGCAGGCUUAACACAUGCAAGUCGAGGGGCAGCAAGGGUAGCAAUACCUGUUGGCGACCGGCAAACGGGUGCGGAACACGUACAGAAUCUACCUUUAUCUGGGGAGUAGCCCGAAGAAAUUCGGAUUAAUACCCCAUAAUAUACGAGAGUGGCAUCACUCAUGUAUUAAAACUCCGGUGGAUAGAGAUGACUGUGCGUCCCAUUAGCUAGUUGGUAGGGUAAAGGCCUACCAAGGCGACGAUGGGUAGCUGGUGUGAGAGCACGACCAGCCACACGGGCACUGAGACACGGGCCCGACUCCUACGGGAGGCAGCAGUGAGGAAUAUUGGUCAAUGGACGCAAGUCUGAACCAGCCAUGCCGCGUGAAGGAUGAAGGCGUUCUGCGUUGUAAACUUCUUUUAUCUGGGAAGAAACCUACGAUUUCUAUUGUAGCCGACGGUACCAGAGGAAUAAGCACCGGCUAACUCCGUGCCAGCAGCCGCGGUAAUACGGAGGGUGCAAGCGUUAUCCGGAUUCACUGGGUUUAAAGGGUGUGUAGGCGGGUAUUUAAGUCAGUGGUGAAAUCUCCAGGCUCAACCUGGAAACUGCCAUUGAUACUAUUUAUCUUGAAUCCUGUUGAGGUGGGCGGAAUAUAUCAUGUAGCGGUGAAAUGCUUAGAGAUGAUAUAGAACACCGAUUGCGAAGGCAGCUCACUAAACAGGUAUUGACGCUGAGGCACGAAAGCGUGGGGAUCAAACAGGAUUAGAUACCCUAGUAGUCC
rnacentral:rRNA from 1 species